rnacentral:rRNA from 1 species
CAUGUCUUUUUGUUGAUGAUUUAAAGUCUGGCCUGCUCAAUGAUUUUUAAAUUGCCGCAGUAUUUUGACUGUGCAAAGGUAGCAUAAUAAUUAGUUUCUUGAUUAGGGGCUUGAAUGAAGGGUUGAACAAGAAAAUUUCUGUCUCUAUUUUAUUAUUGUUGAAUUUUAUUUUUAAGUUAAAAAGCUUAAAUUUUUUUAAAAGACGAGAAGACCCUAUAGAGUUUUAUAAUUUGAUUGUAUUAGUUUUUAGAAAAUUUAAUUUAUUUUAAUUAUUUGAUUGGGGUGAUUCAGUAAUUUAUUAAAUUUAUUGAUUUUUUAUUAUUGAUGAUUUUUAAAUUUAAAAUUUUUUAUCUUAAGUUUAAAUUAAAUUACCUUAGGGAUAACAGCGUAAUUUUUCUUGAAAGUUCUCAUUAAAAGAAGAGUUUGCGACCUCGAUGUUGGAUUAAAAUAAAUUUUUGGUGCAGUAGCUUAUGAAUUAGGUCUGUUCGACCUUUAAAAUUUUACAUGAUCUGAGUUUAGACCGGCGUGAGCCAGGUUAGAUUCUAUCUUUAGGAUUAUUAUAAUAUUUUAGUACGAAAGGACCAAUUAUUAAUUAAAUUAA